rnacentral:rRNA from 1 species
AAUCUUCCACAAUGGACGCAAGUCUGAUGGAGCAACGCCGCGUGAGUGAAGAAGGUUUUCGGAUCGUAAAGCUCUGUUGUUGGUGAAGAAGGAUAGAGGCAGUAACUGGCCUUUAUUUGACGGUAAUCAACCAGAAAGUCACGGCUAACUACGUGCCAGCAGCCGCGGUAAUACGUAGGUGGCAAGCGUUGUCCGGAUUUAUUGGGCGUAAAGCGAGCGAAGGCGGAUAAAUAAGUCUGGUGUGAAAGCCCUCGGCUUAACCGGGGAAUUGAAUCGGAAACUGUUUAUCUUGAGUGCAGAAGAGGGGAGGGGAACUCAUGUGUAGCGGUGGAAUGCGUAGAUAUAUGGAAGAACACCAGUGGCGAAAGCGGCUCUCUGGUCUGUAACUGACGCUGAGGCUCGAAAGCAUGGGUAGCGAACAG